UCUGUUUUAUGGGCCUGCUGGAAGCGGUCUGUAUGCAGCCAAAAUGCGGUUGGAGACCUAGAGCAGCACUGCCCCCUCAAGAUUCUGAGCCUGCAGGGUUGGUCCUGCAAAGCCCCCUGAUGGGAGAGCAUAAUAUACAAGGAAAUUCUCAAAGCUGCUAACGAGAACCUUGACGACCUUGUACCUAGCCGGUGGGGAUUCUGGUGGGAUGCCCCCACCCAGGCAGUGGCAGUGAUGGCAACACUAGCUGCAGUUACCCAUGGGGUUGGGGUCACACUCGGACAUUCAGAGAGGGGGCAUAUUAUUGUGGCCCUGGUGGCACAAAAUCAAAGGUCUGACUGCAUGGAGAUGCUUGGGAAUAUGGUCACUACGGGGGACCAUGUUGUGUGUGUUUCAGGGAAUAUGGUCACUACGGGGGACCGUGUUGUGUGUGUUUCAGGGAAUAUGGUCACUACGGGGGACCAUGUUGUGUGUGUUUCAGGGAAUAUGGUCACUACGGGGGACCAUGUUGUGUGUGUUUCAGGGAAUAUGGUCACUACAGGGGACCGUGUGUGUUUCAGGGAAUAUGGUCACUACGGGGGACCGUGUUGUGUGUGUUUCAGGGAAUAUGGUCACUACAGGGGACCGUGUUGUGUGUGUUUCAGGGAAUAUGGUCACUACGGGGGACCGUGUUGUGUGUGUUUCAGGGAAUAUGGUCACUACGGGGGACCGUGUUGUGUGUGUUUCAGGGAAUAUGGUCACUACAGGGGACCGUGUUGUGUGUGUUUCAGGGAAUAUGGUCACUACGGGGGACCAUGUUGUGUGUGUUUCAGGUGAAGGGGGUAUAUCUGACCUCCAUCAUAUAGGUUGUGACAAUGGUUAAUCAAGUCUCUCCAUUUCUGCCCAGUUUUGCAGGCCUUCUCAUACAGCUGUAACUGUAUAUACAUUUGUAAAUCAAGACCUUUCUUGAGUUGGGCUCUAGGAUGGUGCAACUGUUGAGAAUCUGAGUCUAUGGUUGUUGUGGGGAAAAGGGGUUGAGUGUGUGUGUGUGUGUGUUUAUUUAUCCCACAACUGUUCCAAGGGAGUUAAAGAUGUUUGGGACAAUAUAGGAUGAUUCACAAUAAUUAUUUGCUAAUAUAAUAAUUGCUUGCCAUAAUGUAAUUUUGGUCAUGGCGAGACUGGUGAGAGGUAAAAAUCCUUUGCAUAAAUUGCCUACAUUACUACAAAUAUUAAUAGCUAAUAAUGGAAAAUAAGAAACAGGAUUUAAAAAUAAUAAUACAAUAAAUAAAUAAAAUAUAUAUAACUGCUAUAUAUAGUACAAAUCGAGGUGAGGGCGAUGGAAAUGCAUUUGGUGGUUGAUCUGCUUCAGUUAACUUAGUGUGUGUAAACUUCUGACCCACUGGAAUUGUGAUACAGUGAAUUAUAAGUCUCUAAAAAAAGGUUGGAAAUAUUACUUGUGUCAUGCACAAAGUAGAUGUCCUAACCAACUUGCCAAAACUAUAGUUUGUUAACAAUAAAUGUGUGGAGUGGUGACUGUGUGGAGAGACUCCAACCUAAGUGUAUGUAAACUUCCGACUUCAUCUGUGUAUAUAUGUAUAUUUAUGUGUGUGUGUGUAAUAUAUAACAUUAUUUCACCUUUAUUUAACCAGGUAGGCCUGUUGAGAAGAAAGUCUCAUUUACAACUUCGACCUGGCCAUGAUAAAGCAAAGCAGUACAACACAAACCUAAACACCUCAAGAGUUACACAUGGAAUAAACAAAUGUACAGUCAAUAACACAAUGGAAAGAAUCUAUAUACAGUGUGUGCAAAUGAGGUAAGAUUAGGGGGGUAAGGCAAUAAAUAGGCCGUAGUGGCGAAGUAAUUACAAUAUAGCAAGUAAACACUGGAGGGAUAGAUGUGCAGGGGCCUGUUGCACAAAAGUAGAAUUAAGACAUCCGGGAUAAAUGACUCAGCUGAGCUCAAUGAAGCCAAAACAUGUGCGUCCAGGCUUAAUUGGUUGCACAAAGACCAAGCCAGGAUGAGCAGACACGGAUUCAUUAAACCAGGUGAAACCAAUCCUGGAUAGGUGCGCGCUCACGGCUCACUCAAAUAGACCCCGCCACAGAUCACAGAUUAACUGAUUUACCAUGGCAACUAGAGCCGCGUACUUUUCCCCGUCGGAAGCACAAAUCCUCAUGGAGGCAUACGAGGAGGUAAAAGAUAUAAUUAAGAAGAAAGGCAACACCGCCACAGUGAUAAAGCAAAGAGAAAAAGCGUGGCAAAGUAUUGCAGACCGCCUGAAUGCGUAAGUAGUGCACAAUUACACACUCACCGCUCCGCUGAAACAUCACAAUUACAAUUCAAAUAUUUAAUUCACAUCUCCAAAAAUGCAGUUGUACUGUAAUUAUGAAACGGUUAAAUUUUUAAUUGAAAUGCACUGCAGAUAUGAGUGAAAUUGUGUAAAGUAACUCCAUCACACUGUAUAAAGCUAUGAUAAAUUUUUUGAUAUUUUUACUGAAAACAAGACAAAAAUACCAAGUAUUUUUUUGCAGUGUGACUCCAUUAAAUGUGUGUGUGUGUGUGUGUAGAUUAAACAUGAACGGGCCAAAACGAACAUGGCAGCAGGUCAAAAUCAAAUACAAGAACAUUCUGCAGAAUGGUAUGGUCCCUGACUAAUAUUUAACAAAGCACAAGCAUAUAUUGUACCCAGAAGGUGCCUGCUCACACAUUGUCUGUACUGUUUUAGCAGUGAAAAGAAUACCCACAGACAAGGCACGGGUGGUGGGUCACCAAAGGCUGACCUUACCCCAGCAGAGGACAUGGCCUUGGAGCUAAAUAAAGGCAGGCCCGUCUUAGAGGGGAUCCCUGGGGGGAAAGAGACGAGCAUAGGUUCCUCCCAAGAUGCCACCCGCUUCAUUCAAGUGCCUGGCAGCACUGUGUUCCUGUUAGAGCCACCAGCACAAGCACCAGACGAUGCUGAUCCAGGUGAAGGCCCCAGUGCAGCAGCAACAGCACAUGAUGGAGACGAUGAUGAGGAGGAGACCAUCUCUCUGGAUUCCAGAAGGCAUGAGGUAUCAUGUUAAGACUGUGAAAGUACUAUUUACUCUACAAUGGUGAGGAGUCCUCAUCAAAAUCAAAAAAUCUAAUUUCUUUUACAGGACCCAGAUGCUAUACAGUGGGAAAACCAGCCUGGCAACAUAGUGCGUAUUAAUAAAAGGACACCACAUCCUGCCAAAUUCCAGCUGCGCUAAUUGUAUUGUAUUCACAGAGCUCACAAGCUAUCAGAAAGUUGUAUGGCAACCACCUCCGGCGCCAAAUAGAACUGGCAGACAUAGACAUUCAGUACAAGAAGAAAAAGAUGGAAAAUCUUGCACUGGAGUCCGAAAUAAAAAAGAGGACAAUUAGGAAACUGGACCUUGAAAUGAAAAAACUUGAGAGGGAGGUGAGAUAUGCCUUCAAUGUACACUGUAUGCUAACUGUAACACAAAUGUAUUAAUCAUUAUUUUUCUUUCCUCCCCCAGCUCCAAGAAGAUGACACAGCUCAAAAUAAAAAUUAGGUAUAUUCUCGUAAAGUCAAGUGAGCCAUGACAUAUGAGCUCUUAUUGUGAGCACACAGGACGGUGGCAUCUUUCUAAGGUUUUUUUAUUUUCCCAGCAAU